UUUUUUUAAAUAACUGCCUUUGCAUGGUUAUAGCUAGCUAGCUAGCUAACCUAGAAACAUUGACAGUUAAAGAUCGAGGACUUCGGUAUCUGUUUAUCUUUGUUGGCUAUUUUGGAAGACUUGGAGCCAAUGCAAUGAACAUGGAACGCCGGGACACCCAGCGGGCGCCUGGAGUGUUCAUCUAUAACCCUCACAUGCGUGGCCAGUGGCAGGCAGCCUACCGUCUGAGCCAGUGCCCAGGACUCAGACAUCUCUUUGCUCAACAUCAACUAGGCAUUGAGCUGCUUGACAGCUGGUACUCGACGACCCA